GAUGAACGCUGGCGGCGUGCCUAAUACAUGCAAGUCGAGCGAACGGACGAGAAGCUUGCUUCUCUGAUGUUAGCGGCGGACGGGUGAGUAACACGUGGAUAACCUACCUAUAAGACUGGGAUAACUUCGGGAAACCGGAGCUAAUACCGGAUAAUAUUUUGAACCGCAUGGUUCAAAAGUGAAAGACGGUCUUGCUGUCACUUAUAGAUGGAUCCGCGCUGCAUUAGCUAGUUGGUAAGGUAACGGCUUACCAAGGCAACGAUGCAUAGCCGACCUGAGAGGGUGAUCGGCCACCCUGGAACUGAGAUACGCUCCAGGCUCCUGCGAGAGGCCGCAGUAGGGAAUCUUCCGCAAUGGGCGAAAGCCUGACGGAGCAACGCCGCGUGAGUGAUGAAGGUCUUCGGAUCGUAAAGCUCUGUUAUUAGGGAAGAACAUAUGUGUAAGUAACUGUGCACAUCUUGACGGUACCUAAUCAGAAAGCCACGGCUAACUACGUG
rnacentral:rRNA from 1 species